rnacentral:rRNA from 1 species
UAGAGUUUGAUCCUGGCUCAGGAUGAACGCUGGCGGCGUGCCUAACACAUGCAAGUCGAACGGUGAUGGUUUGAUAUUUUCGGAUGGAUAAUCAUCAUAGUGGCGGACGGGUGAGUAACGCGUGGAUAACCUGCCUUUCACUGGGGGAUAGCAGCUGGAAACGGCUGGUAAUACCGCAUACGAUCCUUUAAUCGCAUGAUUGAAGGAAGAAAGAUUUAUCGGUGAGAGAUGGAUCCGCGUCUGAUUAGCCAGUUGGCGGGGUAACGGCCCACCAAAGCGACGAUCANUAGCCGGCCUGAGAGGGUGAUCGGCCACAUUGGGACUGAGACACGGCCCAAACUCCUACGGGAGGCAGCA